CCCUUAGAUGUUCUGGGCCGCACGCGCGCUACACUGAUGCAUUCAACGAGUCUAAAACCUGCUCUGAUAGGGGUGGGUAACCUUUUGAAUGUGCAUCGUGAUUGGGAUAGAUGAUUGCAAUUUUUCAUCUUCAACGAGGAAUGCCUAGUAAACGCAAGUCAUCAGCUUGCAUUGAUUACGUCCCUGCCCUUUGUACACACCGCCCGUCGCUCCUACCGAUUGAAUGAUCCGAUGAAUAUCAUGGAUUGAGGAUUAUAGCAGGUUCGCCUGUCUUGAUCUUCGAGAAGUGAAGUAAAUCCUAUCAUUUAGAGGAAGGAGAAGUCGUAACA
rnacentral:rRNA from 1 species